GAUAUAUGUUCCACUCGCAUUAGUCUAUUCCUCAUUCUGUUAUGGAUACUAUCAAAAUCAAGACCGAAAAUAUCAAUGGUAAACCUUUGGAAAGUGAGUGUUCAUGUGUGAAGAUAAAGAUCUUAUUCUUUGCCAGAGCUCGGGACUUAACUGGCUUAACGGAGAUGCCACUAGAGCUGUCAUCUGGUAGUACUACCCGUGAUUGUUUGAAUAAGCUUGUUGCUAAGUUCCCCUGUUUGGAAGAGAUUCGUGGCUGCAUAGUUCUUGCUCUAAAUGAGGAAUACACAACCGAAGAUUCGGUUGUCAAAGAAAAAGAUGAGCUGGCAAUUAUACCUCCAAUAAGUGGUGGCUAAUUAUUCUUGCAGAUUAUGCAAACCUUGGACGAGGCUAAUAGUUCAAGCAAAGAUAUGAAUUUCGGUACAUAUUCCUCUUCUGUAAUUUCUUGUGCUUCUCAAUAGUUGCAACAAAAUAUAAAAGGAUGUGGAAUAAAAACAAGACCAAUCUGGAAAUUACCUCUGUCUUAUGCUAUACCGUAAAGGAUUCAUUUGGAAAAAUGCAUCUCUUUUCGGAAUCAUAAGCUGUAAAUCCUAAAUAAUUAUGCACUGGGUGUUUGCCCAUGUGUACAAUGUGCUUUUAUUCCUUCCUUUAUUUUAUCGAAUUAAAUUAGUUUAAUUCGA
rnacentral:misc_RNA from 1 species